UCUGGCCUGGGAAAUCCCAUGGACAGAGAAGCCUUGCCGGCUAUAGUUCAUGAGCUCUCAAGAGUAGGACAUGACUUAGUGACUAAACAACAAGUAACUCCACUCAUGUAGGAUCAAAGAAUGAGCUUCCUCUACCUAGAAUUUUCUUUAACAGAACCCAUAGCUUCUUUGAGGGACUCAAUUAAGUCAGCCAAAUUUGGGAAAAUAAACCUCGUAAUCAGUGGAGGAAGUAAAGCUCUUGCCAGCCAUCUUCACAUCUCUCUAUUCUCAUCGGCAUCGUUAACUAGCCUCCAAAUUCAUUUAUUCUCAUUUCUUUCUCGAAGGCACCUUCCAACAGAGCAAGCUAGUGUUUGUGACUGAAAUAAUUUUGUGCAAAAUACUUAGGCUCCUAAUGGUCCAUGUGGAGAAUUGCUGAGGAAGGUAUGAAGUCAGACCUAAGGAAAUAUGAAAGGAAAACUUCAAUCCAGAGCAACUGGGAUAUAAAAGGUGAAGAUAGAUGCUAAAACCCCCACCAAGUGGAAGAAAUCAACGACUUGAUGACCACGAGCACAUAGCCCCCCAGACCUACUGGAGCCUAAGGAUCUAUAUUGCUAACCCCUGUGACAGGAUCCUGUUACCUCCAUCAACCAAUCAGAGAAUUAUGCACGAGCUGAUCACACAGUCUGGGAUGCUCCUCCCUCACCUGGCUUUUAAAAAUGCUUAGCUGAAACCAAUGGGGAGU